rnacentral:rRNA from 2 species
UACGAAGGGGGCUAGCGUUGUUCGGAAUCACUGGGCGUAAAGGGCGCGUAGGCGGCUUUGUAAGUCGGGGGUGAAAGCCUGUGGCUCAACCACAGAAUUGCCUUCGAUACUGCAUGGCUUGAGACCGGAAGAGGUAAGUGGAACUGCGAGUGUAGAGGUGAAAUUCGUAGAUAUUCGCAAGAACACCAGUGGCGAAGGCGGCUUACUGGUCCGGAUCUGACGCUGAGGCGCGAAAGCGUGGGGAGCAAACAGG